rnacentral:rRNA from 1 species
CGGAUCGGAGUCUGNAACCCGACUCCGUGAAGCUGGAUUCGCUAGUAAUCGCGCAUCAGCCAUGGCGCGGUGAAUACGUUCCCGGGCCUUGUACACACCGCCCGUCAAGUCAUGAAAGUGGGCAGCACCCGAAGACGGUGGCCUAACCCUUGUGGGGGGAGCCGUCUAAGGUGAGGCUCGUGAUUGGGACUAAGUCGUAACAAGGUAUC